UUGAGAGCGGCGUACGGUGCGACACGUGUGCACUGCCUUUUAUCUGGGGGAUAGCCUUUCGAAAGGAGAUAUACCAUAUAUGUUGAUGGCAUCAUCGACAUUUGAAACUCCGUGGAUAGAGAUGGCACGCGCAGAUAAAUAGUUGGUGAGGUACGGUCACAGUCUACGAUCUUUAGGGGCCUGAGAGUGAUCCCCACACUGGUACUGAGACACGGACCAGACUCCUACGGGAGGCAGCAGUUGAAGGAAAUUAUUUGGGACCAAUGGGUGAGAGCUGAUCCAGCCAUCCCGGCGUUGAAAAGGACGACUGCCUAUGGGUUGUAAACUCCUUUUUGGUUAAUAAGGGGAUAAACUACCUCGUGAGGGUAGCUGAAGGUACUAUACGAAUAAGCACCGGCCAACUCCGUGCCAGCAGCCGCGGUAAUACGGAGGGUGCAAGCGUUAUCCGGAUUUAUUGGGGGGGGUUUUUAAAAAGGGGGUCCGUAGCGGAUCUGUAAGUCAGUGGUGAAAUCUCACAGUUAACUGUGAAACUGCAUUGAUACUGCAGGUCUUGAGUGUUGUUGAAGUACUGGAAUAAGUAGUGUACGGUGAAAUGCAUAA
rnacentral:rRNA from 1 species